rnacentral:rRNA from 1 species
AUGAAGAUACCUCUUAAGAAUAAAAUCUUUGCAUGGUAUCUUCGUCGUGGAGUCAUUCUGACUAAAGAUAACCUUAUUAAGAGGAAUUGGCAUGGAAGUACGCAAUGUGUAUUUUGUCCGCAUGAUGAGACACUAAAACAUUUGUUCUUCCAAUGUAAAUUGGCUCGUUCUAUAUGGCCAGUCAUCCAAAUAACUUCUGGCUUGUACCCUCCUUGUAGUGUUGCUAAUAUAUUUGGCAACUGGUUACAUGGGAUUGAUCAAAAGUUCGGAAUUCUACUUAGGAUGGGAGCGCUUGCUGUGAUUUGGUCGCUUUGGCUAUGUAGAAAUGAUAAGAUUUUUAACGAUAAAAGUACUUCGCUUAUGCAGGUUAUCUACAGAUGUACUGGGACACUUCGUUUAUGGUCCUCUCUACAACGAGUGGAAAUCGAGACCUGUUUACGGAGGUGUGUACACGAUUGGAGGCUACGGCGAAGGAUACUUUUACACAACAUGGGUGGCAGCAUGAUCUUAGGAUUGGGCCACCGACGGUUUAGGCGCUAUACAAAUAUACAUUUUUCUUUGUAUUUCGCCUUCCUAUUUUAUUUUCGCUUGUCGUGA